AAGGCACUUAAGCACUUAAAUGUUAGUGUUAGUCAUAAGUAAGUACAUUGCAGAAGAGUUUUUUCAGCAAUAAUAAUAAAGAAGGUGAAUAACUUCUUUGAUGCUUUUAAUCCUAGCAUGCCAAAGCUAAAUAGUAAACUAAACAUUCAUGAAAGAUUCAUCACUUACGAAAUUAGUAUCUUCUUAUAUUUCAGUGGGUGAAACUUCACCAGCACCAUCCAUUCGGUGACAAAGAGGAUGAUAUUGUGGUGUGCUUCAUCUUGAACCACUCAGCCUCCAGACGCUCUCCUGUAUAGAGAGCACCUGCAGCAGCCCUGUGAAAUAUCACAAUGACCAAACAGGACAAGUCAACAGAAGGAAACGCUCUGAUUCUGAAUCUGAGGAGGAACCAAUUACAGAGGAGGAACUGGCCAAGCUGAAAGAAGAGGUAGAAGAAAAAAAGAAACUCAUUGCCACACUACGAAACAAGCCAUGGAAGAUGAAAAAGAAGUUGUCUGUCCUUAAGUAUGGUUUGAUUUCCAUAAUGGAUAUGUGCUAUCCUGCUCUACACUGUUUUUCUGAAUUUUCACUUUAGUUCUGGACCUACUCACAAAAUUAGCUUCAAACCACCUCUAAUCUCUCUUCCCUAGGAUGUGUUGUCACAGUAAAUGGAGAUAAAUGGUGUUGCAGAUCAGUGCUUUCUUGUCUCUGUAGAGCUGAAACCAAAUAUGGAAAGCUAAUAUCUUUUUGUUUUCAGAAUUUUCAUUACAAGCCAGUGCAAAAUAUUUUCCUUUUCUUCAAUUAGGUUGAUGUUGGUAAAUUCUUCCAUUGCUAAGAUUAAUAUCUCAUUAACAUUUCUCAGAAAAAUGAUGCAAUUUCUAGAUUACCUCAAGAUUGUUGGGGAGAGCAGAGAGGAUUUAUCUCCUAGUCUGACUUUUAGGAAAGAAAAA
rnacentral:lncRNA from 1 species